rnacentral:rRNA from 1 species
UGCGCAGGCGGUUAUAUAAGACAGAUGUGAAAUCCCCGGGCUCAACCUGGGAACUGCAUUUGUGACUGUAUAGCUAGAGUGCGGCAGAGGGGGAUGGAAUUCCGCGUGUAGCAGUGAAAUGCGUAGAUAUGCGGAGGAACACCGAUGGCGAAGGCAAUCCCCUGGGCCUGCACUGACGCUCAUGCACGAAGCGUGGGGAGCAAACA